rnacentral:rRNA from 1 species
CUUAGUUGCCAUCAUUAAGUUGGGCACUCUAGGUUGACUGCCGGUGACAAACCGGAGGAAGGUGGGGAUGACGUCAAAUCAUCAUGCCCCUUAUGAUUUGGGCUACACACGUGCUACAAUGGACAAUACAAAGGGCAGCUAAACCGCGAGGUCAUGCAAAUCCCAUAAAGUUGUUCUCAGUUCGGAUUGUAGUCUGCAACUCGACUACAUGAAGCUGGAAUCGCUAGUAAUCGUAGAUCAGCAUGCUACGGUGAAUACGUUCCCGGGUCUUGUACACACCGCCCGUCACACCACGAGAGUUUGUAACACCCGAAGCCGGUGGAGUAACCAUUUAUGGAGCUAGCCGUCGAAGGUGGGACAAAUGAUUGGGGUGAAGUCGUAACAAGGUAGCCGUAUCGGAAGGUGCGGCUGGAUCACCUCCUUUCUAAGGA